rnacentral:rRNA from 1 species
CCACGCCGUAAACGAUGAAUACUAGGUGUAGGGGUUUCAACACCUCUGUGCCGCCGCUAACGCAUUAAGUAUUCCGCCUGGGGAGUACGGUCGCAAGAUUAAAACUCAAAGGAAUUGACGGGGGCCCGCACAAGUAGCGGAGCAUGUGGUUUAAUUCGAAGCAACGCGAAGAACCUUACCUAGACUUGACAUCCUCUGCAUUACCCUUAAUCGGGGAAGUUCCUUCGGGAACAGAGUGACAGGUGGUGCAUGGUUGU